CAAACGGGUGCGGAACACGUACGCAACCUACCCAUAACUGAGGAAUAGCCCGGGGAAACCCGGAUUAAUACUUCGUAACAUAAUGAAAUGGCAUCAUUUUAUUAUUAUAGCUCCGGCGGUUAUGGAUGGGCGUGCGCCUGAUUAGGUAGUUGGCGGAGUAAUAGCCCACCAAGCCUACGAUCAGUAACUGGUGUGAGAGCACGACCAGUCACACGGGCACUGAGACACGGGCCCG
rnacentral:rRNA from 1 species